rnacentral:rRNA from 1 species
GCAGGCUUAACACAUGCAAGUCGAGGGGCAGCAUAAUGGAUAGCAAUAUCUAUGGUGGCGACCGGCGCACGGGUGCGUAACGCGUAUGCAACCUACCUUUAACAGGGGGAUAACACUGAGAAAUUGGUACUAAUACCCCAUAAUAUCAUAGAAGGCAUCUUUUAUGGUUGAAAAUUCCGAUGGUUAGAGAUGGGCAUGCGUUGUAUUAGCUAGUUGGUGGGGUAACGGCUCACCAAGGCGACGAUACAUAGGGGGACUGAGAGGUUAACCCCCCACACUGGUACUGAGACACGGACCAGACUCCUACGGGAGGCAGCAGUGAGGAAUAUUGGUCAAUGGACGCAAGUCUGAACCAGCCAUGCCGCGUGCAGGAUGACGGCUCUAUGAGUUGUAAACUGCUUUUGUACGAGGGUAAACGCAGAUACGUGUAUCUGUCUGAAAGUAUCGUACGAAUAAGGAUCGGCUAACUCCGUGCCAGCAGCCGCGGUAAUACGGAGGAUUCAAGCGUUAUCCGGAUUUAUUGGGUUUAAAGGGUGCGUAGGCGGUUUGAUAAGUUAGAGGUGAAAUUUCGGGGCUCAACCCUGAACGUGCCUCUAAUACUGUUGAGCUAGAGAGUAGUUGCGGUAGGCGGAAUGUAUGGUGUAGCGGUGAAAUGCUUAGAGAUCAUACAGAACACCGAUUGCGAAGGCAGCUUACCAAACUAUAUCUGACGUUGAGGCACGAAAGCGUGGGGAGCAAACAGGAUUAGAUACCCUGGUAGUCCACGCAGUAAACGAUGAUAACUCGUUGUCGGCGAUACACAGUCGGUGACUAAGCGAAAGCGAUAAGUUAUCCACCUGGGGAGUACGUUCGCAAGAAUGAAAC